UACAGAGGGUGCGAGCGUUGUCCGGAAUCACUGGGCGUAAAGGGCGCGUAGGUGGCGACCCAAGUCGAUGGUGAAAGCUCGCCGCUUAACGGCGAGUCGGCCACCGAUACUGGGUUGCUCGAGCACUGUAGAGGCUAAUGGAAUUCCGGGUGUAGCGGUGGAAUGCGUAGAUAUCAGGAGGAACACCGGUGGCGAAGGCGGGUCUCUGGGCAGUAACUGACGCUGAGGAGCGAAAGCGUGGGGAGCGAACAGG
rnacentral:rRNA from 1 species